AUCAGUGGCUCAGAGUGAACGCUGGCGGCAGGCCUAAUACAUGCAAGUCGAACGGCAGCACAGCAGAGCUUGCUCUGUGGGUGGCGAGUGGCGGACGGGUGAGGAAUACGUGGGAAUCUGCCCAGUCGUGGGGAUAACGUAGGGAAACUUACGCUAAUACCGCAUGCGCCCUUCGGGGGAAAGCCGGGGACCUUCGGGCCUGGCGCGAUUGGAUGAGCCCACGUCGGAUUAGCUAGUUGGCGGGGUAAAGGCCCACCAAGGCGACGAUCCGUAGCUGGUCUGAGAGGAUGAUCAGCCACACUGGAACUGAGACACGGUCCAGACUCCUACGGGAGGCAGCAGUAGGGAAUAUUGGACAAUGGGCGCAAGCCUGAUCCAGCCAUGCCGCGUGAGUGAAGAAGGCCCUCGGGUUGUAAAGCUCUUUUGUCCGGAAAGAAAAGCGCCGGGUUAAUACCCUGGUGUCCUGACGGUACCGGAAGAAUAAGCACCGGCUAACUCCGUG
rnacentral:rRNA from 1 species